GCCUUCGUGGUGUAACGGGAAGCACGCUGAACUCGUAUUCGGAAAAUCUGGAGUUUAAAUCCCGGCGAAGGCA
rnacentral:tRNA from 1 species